rnacentral:lncRNA from 1 species
ACAAAACAGCAACAUGGCUUCAUCUGUCAUCAUGUUACAUGAAUCAGAGAAGAAUGAGAAAAACUGGGGCAAAUAUAUUAUGAACAGACCAUUCAAGAAAAGCACAUGUAUUUAGAAUGAUAACACAAAUUCAGCUAGUACCAUGCUUUUUGUUGUCGAGCUAGUUAAAAUGAGAUAGUAGUUCAUAUAAGAAACAGAGACACAAUAUGAAUAUGCAUGGCGCAUAUGCAGGUUGUGCAAAAACCUGCACUACAACACAUUGCGCCUGAAACAAAAUACCAUUCUACUAUCACGACCAUACAUUCAACUGGGAAGAUCUAACAAUACUCGUCAGCACACGCAUACUAACAUCACAAAGGCAGGGGAGAAUAAAGGGAACCAAGGAAGAUACCUGUGGAUGAUAGUGUCGAUGAUGAUCUGGAUUGAGUUAGCAUUGAUGAGGAAGUGGAUGGUGUCCAUGGUGUGCUUUAGAUGCACACAGCCAUGAGCUUCUUGCCGUUGUUGCAUCCGUUCGCUCGAUUAUGGGUACAAAUGCAUCCAAGUAGAACAAAACCACCAACAUUAACCCAC